GUGCGAUCUGUGAGGUGGAUGUGUGGGCUGUGAGGUGGAUGUGCGAUCUGUGAGGUGGAUGUGUGGGCUGUGAGGUGGAUGUGCGAUCUGUGAGGUGGAUGUGUGGGCUGUGAGGUGGAUGUGCGAUCUGUGAGGUGGAUGUGUGGGCUGUGAGGUGGAUGUGCGAUCUGUGAGGUGGAUGUGCGAUCUGGGAGGUGGAUGUGUGGGCUGUGAGGUGGAUGUGCGAUCUGGGAGGUGGAUGUGCGAUCUGUGCAGUGGAUGUGCGAUCUUU